UUCUAUCAAAUAGAAAGGGUGAUUUCGACAUGUUGGCUACAUUUCAAAAAUUUUAACACUAUGUGUCUUCAUCUUAUUAUCAUGCUAACUACUUGUCAUAAAUAUAUACACCUCUAUUGAGCCGCAUAUCUCUCUCCCUCUUUUCCUUUAUCCCCUAUGUCAAAAAUCAAACAAAAAAAAGCAAGAAAAAGUUAUUUAUUUUUACCUUUUUUUGGGUUUAUUGCUGUUGAAUUGGGUACAGUUUUUUCAUUUUUAAUGGAAGAAGAAGAGCUAAUUUGAUAUGUGAAUUAAAUUGCUUAUUUGAAAUUUUCUAAAAGAAGAAGAGCCAUAUUUUUUGAGAAUUGUCAAAGUGGAUUCUGGCCGGCUAUUUUCAAGUAAGUAGGUAGCCACAUAGUUCAAAAUUAUUUUUAUAAUCUAUUUAAGUUCUAUAGAUUGAACAUGUGUUUGAGCUUUUUGGGUUUUUAGAUUUUGACCUACAAUUUUAAAUUGGGUAUUUUCAGAUAGAAUAAAUAAAUAACGUAAAAAACCUCGAGAUAGUCAUUUUAUUUGGUUUAAUUUCUUCCUAGAUAGCAUUGUGGGAGACACAUAUUGAUAAAAAAAAGAACUUUAGACUUCCUGAAAAAAUAAAAGAAUUGUAUGUAUUUUUAGGAUUACAUUUGCAUUUCAUGGAUGGUUAUUCGAAAGAAGUUAAUCUGCGAGAGUAUUAUUUUUUGUUAUACUUAUUUGUGAUUUUUAAAGUUGUUUAAUUGAUGAUGUAUCUCUCUUAGAAAAUGGCAUACCACUUGAGAGAAUUUUUGAUUGGCUUAGUCCUAGAAUGACAUAUUCUUCCUACACAAAUGACACUUGUUACAGCGUUUUGAUGUUUUGCUGUUGAAGUUUGGCUAUGUCUAACAAAAGGAAAAGGUAAAGAGUUUAAAGAAUUUGUUGUUUUGUUGCUGAAGUUUUACUUUGUUCUUGUCAUAUCCAAUUUGUAUUGGAUGCUUGCAUAUAACAAAUUGAAUUUUCCCUUGACAAAAUUAUCAGCUUGCUAAAGACCUGGGGAGAGGCUAUUCAAAUCGAGCAGCUCUUAAUGUUUUCCUCGUGUCACAGGCAUCCAUCACAUCUAGCCCUCCUAGGGUACUGACGAAUGCCUUUCAGUUCAUUUUUAUAGGGGCGUCAACUGGUGUGGAAAAUGAAGAUAGUAAUUAGACACAAUAUGAAAAUCUUUGCUUUGCGCGCAUAAUGAGAACAUGAAAUUGAGUUUUCUAAAGUUGUAUGCAUACCAAAAUUAUGUGUGUUCAAACCAUGAAUUCUCUUGCGGAACUUUAAUCUAUCUUUUCUAUUUCUUGAGAACAGCAAACUCUGUUUCAAAGGGUAAUGAUCACUAUUUAUGGACUCAAACCUAAGUGAUUUAUUCAUGAUCAAUAUGUGGCUUAGGUGAAACUCUUUAUGUCUUUCUUGGUUUAUCUAGAAUAGGUAGGAGUAUAAAUUGAAAUAUUAUGAUUCUAAUGUCAUGAAUAGGGGACAUGUAUUGACUAGACCUGAACAACUAGACUUAAUAAAGCCUAUCACUAGAGAAGAGAUUGCAGAUGCUUUGAAGGGAAUUGAAGAAAAUAAGGCACCAAGUUGUGAUGUUCUAUGAGUUAUAUUUCUCUUUUAGUUUUUUGUUCUUGGAGUUUGGUUAUUAAUUUUGGUUUUUAUAGUUCAAUUGUUGUUGUAUCUUGUUAUGACUACUCUUUAGCUAAUUUACUCGAUUGUCUAUAAUAUUUUACCAUCGUGAUUAUCUUUACUUUGGAAACCAUUUCCUAAGCUAGACAUUUUGUGGUGUCUAAACAUGUUCUCUACUAAAUUCUUAUUGGAUAAAUAACUUUGGUUCACUUCUUGUAAGAGAGCUUUAUCGAGAAUGAGUCAGGUCUUGUUGUUCUCUUCCCAGUGCAUAUUCAUUCAGUCUGUUCCUUUUUAUUUUUGUUGAAGAUUUAUAACUUUGUCGUUUGACAGCUACACCAUGUUUCAUUCUCUUUUUCUGUUCUAAGGUCGGUAAAUAUAAUGAGUUGACUGGGCUAUAAUGCAGUUGAGGUCAGUAGCCAAGGUAGAUGCAUUAUCUCCUUUGCCCCUGAUUAUACUGAUCUGAGCCUUAAGGGUCUGUUAUGCAUUAUCUCUUUUGCCCCAGAUUAUACUGAUCUGACACUUAAGGGUCUGUUUAGUUAAGUUUUUGCAUUGAAACUCUAGAUGAAGAUUGAAAAGUUUCUGCAACCACUUAUUCUUAAACUUUUAAAAGAGGACACAGAAGAGAGUCUUAUAAGUUCCAAUCAAAUGGUGAAGGGUUUUUUUAGGAUGGCCAAGAGUAUCGAUGAUCUUUCUCUGGAUAUUCUUUCUACAAAAAUGCCAUUCAAGUUAAUUGUUCCUCGGGCGAUCACUGAGGGAUGACUUGAUGCAUCUUUCCUAAAAACUUCAGUUGUUACUUUAGAAGCCAAGGUUAUGUGACCAGCUUGCAGUAUGUGGAAAACAAUUGAAUCUUUUUACUAAGAAAACAAAAUUAUAGAUGGCAUGACAGGUGGCUUUCACUUCAAGUUUUAAGCUGCUUAACAACGGACAGUUCUUGAAACAACUUUGUAUGCCAAAAAGCCAAGCUGAAAGCCUGAUCGAUUUUAUACUCUAGCAGAAUACCUGCCUUGUAUGUCGAAACUUGAUUAGCAGAAUACCUGAAAGUCGUUGCAUUGAGUUUUAUCAAUUUAUAUAUGCUCACUUUAUCUCAGUGAUAGUGAGUGUAAAUGAAAACUAAUAAGUUGUGUAUAGUCCAUCACGUCCUAUCUUGCAUAUUUCACUAAGAUUGGAGUUAAAUAUCAGCACUACAUGUUAGUAAAAUGUUUUCUGUAAAGAUAUUGAAUAUUGAUUUUAAAUUCUUUGUAAAUUGUCCUUCGA